GUGCUCACUUUGGCAGCACAUAUACUAAAACUGGAACAAUACAGAGAUGACUAGCAUGGCCCCUGCACGAGGAUGACACGCAAAUUCGUGAAGUGUUCCAUAUUUAA
rnacentral:snRNA from 1 species